AGUGAACGCUGGCGGUAGGCCUAACACAUGCAAGUCGAACGGCAGCACAGUAAGAGCUUGCUCUUACGGGUGGCGAGUGGCGGACGGGUGAGGAAUACAUCGGAAUCUACUUUUUCGUGGGGGAUAACGUAGGGAAACUUACGCUAAUACCGCAUACGACCUACGGGUGAAAGCAGGGGAUCUUCGUACCUUGCUCGAAUUAAUGAGCCGAUGUCGGAUUAGCUAGUUGGCGGGGUAAAGGCCCACCAAGGCGACGAUCCGUAGCUGGUCUGAGAGGAUGAUCAGCCACACUGGAACUGAGACACGGUCCAGACUCCUACGGGAGGCAGCAGUGGGGAAUAUUGGACAAUGGGCGCAAGCCUGAUCCAGCCAUACCGCGUGGGUGAAGAAGGCCUUCGGGUUGUAAAGCCCUUUUGUUGGGAAAGAAAAGCAGCAGGUUAAUACCCCGCUGUUCUGACGGUACCCAAAGAAUAAGCACCGGCUAACUUCGUG
rnacentral:rRNA from 1 species